UCGAGUCUUUCUUCAAUCAAGGUUGCUUUUCUCUUUUUUUUUGUUGAUCCUCAAGUUUAAUAUUUUGUUUCUUGCAAAAUGGGUUUACUCUUGAUCUUGAAAAUUUUGCUUCUGUAACUAUUAUAAUAUCUGAAAUCUUGAGAAUAUACCAACUUUUGUUUUGUACAAUGUAACUCACUUUAGUGUCUCCUCUCUGGUUUUGAUUCUUGUCUCAGUUUUGAUAAUCUUGUGUUGUUGAUACCAACCAAGAUUAUGACUUAGUAAUUAGUAUCAUCGCUUUAGGGUUAUGGCUUAUUUUUUGAAGGUUCAUAAAACGGGAUUUAACUAUACAAUACAAUGUUUGCUCUGACUAGAUUUGGUAAUGAUGGACAUGAUGAAGAUUUCUAGGAGAUUUUUCACAAAUGUUUGCAUACUUUUAGUUCUCCUGUGCUCUUGUUCUGUCUACCAAAACAAAACCAUUGUCUUGCUGAUGCUCAAGAAGACACUAUUGUGAUGAUGACACUGCAAGUAGAUGCUUCUAACGUGACAAGACGACCAAUUCCUGAUACUCUCUGUUCGGUAUCUUCUUUGAGGAAAUUAAUCAUGCUGGAGCAGGUGGACUAUGGGCUGAACUUGUUAGCAACAGAGGAUUUGAAGCUGGUGGACAAAACAUUCCUUCUAAUAUCUGGCCUUGGUCCAUUAUUGGAGAUGAAUCAUCCAUUUACGCCGUUGCAGACCGUUCUUCGUGUUUUGAGCGAAACAAGAUUGCUCUUAAAAUAGAAGUGCUUUGUGACAGCAAUGGCAGUAGCAAUUCUUGUCCUUUACGAGGAGUCGGGUUUUAUAACCCGGGUUACUGGGGCAUGGUGCAUUUUUUAUACUCUUAGCUUGUUACAAUUUGCAAUUUCUCUAAUGCUUAAACAAGUGUUUACUCAUAUGCAGGGCCGGCCCUUCUAUAAGGCAACUAAAGCAGGGGCUUUAUGCCACAUAAUAUAUAUAAAUUUUAAGGCUUCAUAUUUUAGAAUUAGUUAUUGGUUCAGUGGUUUGGAUGAGGUUUCUAAUCUUGCUAUCGCCAUUGUUCGAGUCCUAUCCUAGGCAUUUUUUAUAUUUUUCUUUUUUUUGGUUAAUAUCUUUUUAUAUCUCUUCAUCCCUUAAAUAUUUUUA